GACGAACGCUGGCGGCGUGCUUAACACAUGCAAGUCGAACGGAAAGGCCCUGCUUUUGUGGGGUGCUCGAGUGGCGAACGGGUGAGUAACACGUGAGUAACCUGCCCUUGACUUUGGGAUAACUUCAGGAAACUGGGGCUAAUACCGGAUAGGAGCUCCUGCUGCAUGGUGGGGGUUGGAAAGUUUCGGCGGUUGGGGAUGGACUCGCGGCUUAUCAGCUUGUUGGUGGGGUAGUGGCUUACCAAGGCUUUGACGGGUAGCCGGCCUGAGAGGGUGACCGGCCACACUGGGACUGAGAUACGGCCCAGACUCCUACGGGAGGCAGCAGUGGGGAAUAUUGCACAAUGGGCGGCAGCCUGAUGCAGCAACGCCGCGUGCGGGAUGACGGCCUUCGGGUUGUAAACCGCUUGCGCCUGUGACGAAGCGUGAGUGACGGUAAUGGGUAAAGAAGCACCGGCUAACUACGUG
rnacentral:rRNA from 1 species